rnacentral:misc_RNA from 1 species
UGGUUCUGGCAUCGAUGAAGAACGCAGCGAAAUGCGAUAAGUAAUGUGAAUUGCAGAAUUCAGUGAAUCAUCGAAUCUUUGAACGCACAUUGCACCCCUUGGUAUUCCGGGGGGUAUGCCUGUUCGAGCGUCAUUAUAACCCCUCCAGCCUGGCUGGGUAUUGGGCUUCGCCGUCUGGCGGGCCUUAAAAUUAGUGGCGGUGCUCUGAGGCUCUACGCGUAGUAAAUAAUCUCGCGAGAGGGUCCUGGGAGACGCUGGCCAGCAACCCUAAUUUCUCAUGGUUGACCUCGGAUCAGGUAGGGAUACCCGCUGA